rnacentral:tRNA from 6 species
GCCUCCGUAGCUCAGGGGAUAGAGCACCGCUCUCCUAAAGCGGGUGUCGCAUGUUCGAAUCAUGCCGGGGGCAC